rnacentral:rRNA from 1 species
UACGUAGGGUGCAAGCGUUAAUCGGAAUUACUGGGCGUAAAGCGUGCGCAGGCGGUUAUGUAAGACAGUUGUGAAAUCCCCGGGCUCAACCUGGGACUGCAUCUGUGACUGCAUAGCUAGAGUACGGUAGAGGGGGAUGGAAUUCCGCGUGUAGCAGUGAAAUGCGUAGAUAUGCGGAGGAACACCGAUGGCGAAGGCGGCCUGCUGGGCAGUAACUGACACUGAGGCGCGACAGCGUGGGGGAGCAAACA